rnacentral:rRNA from 1 species
CAGUCGCCACGGUAAUACGUAGGUGGCAAGCGUUGUCCGGAAUUAUUGGGCGUAAAGGGCUCGCAGGCGGUUUUUUAAGUCUGAUGUGAAAGCCCCCGGCUCAACCGGGGAGGGUCAUUGGAAACUGGGAAACUUGAGUGCAGAAGAGGAGAGUGGAAUUCCACGUGUAGCGGUGAAAUGCGUAGAGAUGUGGAGGAACACCAGUGGCGAAGGCGACUCUCUGGUCUGUAACUGACGCUGAGGAGCGAAAGCGUGGGAGCGAACAGGAUUAGAUACCCCCGUAGUCCCUGUCUCUUAUACA